GUCAGGACCCAAGAAAGGAGCCCUGGGCUUUGGCUGGUGGUGCGCCGGUGCCAGGAUUGCUCUGUUGUGUACACCGAUUUUUUUCUGCUCAUCUACCUGGAGACUCCAGAGAGACAAUAGAUCAAUAGCAAUUUCUUCCCUGCUGGAAAAUGGCCAGCUGCAGCUUCCCACAAGCAACCCAGGCUGCCAGGCGAGUUUGCAACGCGACCUCCCGUGGUGCCAAUGACUGCAGAAGUGGAGAACAUCUGUCUCGGGGGAAAAGGUGGGCUGAGGACAAACAACACCUGAAGAUAUGAGAUGAGCUCACCUAGAACAGCCUGAAGUCAAGCUUGCAUCUGACUAUUUGCACAGGCACACAUGGCUGAGACAUCCAUAAGUAAGGAUGCUGGCUAAAUGCUCUCCUUUCCUCUCCUACCUACGAGACUCACAUGCCUGCAGAUGUUUGGUUUUGGUGCUCUGGCUCACUCUGGCUUAGAGGACUCAUGUCUUAAAGAUAUGUGGCUUGUCGGGUUUGUUUUUGUAUAUUCUUUCAGAGCAGAGUUUGGCUAGUUUCAGUUGGGACAUAUCAAUUUUGAAAAUGGAAAAAGCGACCUAAUGAUGUCAACACAUCCCCUUUGAUCCCUACAGGUUUUAGAACCUUGAUGCAGAGUUUUGUUAAGAAAAAUGAGCUAUAUUGGCACAAUAAAGUUUUUUGAGAUGUUAACUUUUCAAAUCGAUAUGUACUAAUGCAUCUUUCUACAGAGUUCCAUCAAUCACACAGAAAUGAUUUUGUCUACAUUUUUCACCUCUCGUUAACAGUAAUGAUUUUUUUUUUAAAAAAAGAAAAUGAUGAGCCUGGAAUAGCUCUGACUCAUUUCAAAAGAAAUAAACCCCUCACAAUUAGUGAAAAUAAUCCUUAGUCUAGAGGUUCUCUUUUGAUUUAGAGAAUAUUUUCCCCAUGUGUGUGUGCAUUCAUGCUUGUGUUUGUAACUCUGUUAAAAGAUAUUUGAGAUAUAAACUGAGGAUGACUCAUGCCUUGUGUAAUAAAUGAUCAGUUUGAUUUUUCC
rnacentral:lncRNA from 1 species